GUAAUAAUAAAUAAUCGAUAAUAAUAAUUUUUUUUUAAAGAGACGACAUGCACUUGAAGGGCGGGGCUGUGGGUGAGAAAGGGAGGCUGCAAUUCCGCGCACUGCAAAAGGAAGUGACCACAGGUAUCCCCGCUCAGAUGGUCCCGGGGAGGCGGCCCAGGCAAACGUGGGUGGCAACGCCCGGCUCCGCUGUCCCCCACCCCGUGGCCUGAACCAUCUUCUCAGCAGCCUGCUGACCACCGGGUGCGGACGGGAAAGGGCGGACUGUGCAUGGGCGAGCGGGCGUGAGGGAGGACAGGAGGAUGCAAGGCUGAACAGGUGUGUCUCCUCCACAAAGCUAUGAGCUCCCUGAAGACAGGAACCAAGUCGGAUCCAUCCUCCUCAAGGCCCAGCAUAGGCUGACAGACCUCACACUGGCCAGACCAUACCAGCCAUGUUAUCUUCAAUUCCAAGCAACACAGAUUAAAGGCACAUUAGCCAAUUAAGGCCUAUUGAGAUAAGGGCAGGGGUGCGGAGUCUGGAAGCCACGUUCUGUGAAGAACAGAAGAAUCAGGAAAGAAAACAUGAAGAAGAGACCAUUCCCGGGAAAGAAUUCAUUUGCUGACUCAACAGGCCAUUUCUGGGCACCUCUUCUGCAUGAGGCCCUGGGCAGGUCCCGAGGAGGCCACAGAGGAUGCAGCUACAGUCCCUGCCUGGAGAGCUCACAGUCAGACAUGGAAACAAGUAACUAUAACACGCUGUGGUUACUGCCUUUUGAGGGGGAUGUAGAAUGAGGCCAGGAAAGGACUCUCAGAGGAGGCCUUGCAGGGGGUAGAAUUAUGACAGUGUCAGAGGUAAGUUUCAGUUUAGAGUGAGGACUAACUUUCUCACAAUCAGAAUCACUCAGGAAUGGAAGCUGCCUGCUCCAUAUCUGAAAGAGCUGGAAGCUGUGAGCAUGGCCACUGUGACUGCUUCACAGACCUGAUAUCCAUAUCCAUCAACAAAAGAACCAAAUGUGGAGGCUGUAGGAAAUUCUUCACAGUAACAUAGACAUUAAACCUGCUUCCUUUUACAUGCCAGGUACUCGGGUAGAAACACGAACAGUCUCUGGAUUAGAAAACCU